rnacentral:rRNA from 1 species
UACGUAGGGGGCUAGCGUUGUCCGGAAUCAUUGGGCGUAAAGCGCGUGUAGGCGGUCCGGUAAGUCCGCUGUGAAAGCCAGGGGCUCAACCCUUGGAUGCCGGUGGAUACUGUCGGGCUUGAGUACGGAAGAGGCGAGUGGAAUUCCUGGUGUAGCGGUGAAAUGCGCAGAUAUCAGGAGGAACACCAAUUGCGAAGGCAGCUCGCUGGGACGUUACUGACGCUGAGACGCGAAAGCGUGGGGAGCAAACAGG